UACGAAGGGGGCUAGCGUUGCUCGGAAUUACUGGGCGUAAAGCGCACGUAGGCGGAUUGUUAAGUCAGGGGUGAAAUCCUGGAGCUCAACUCCAGAACUGCCCUUGAUACUGAAGGUCUUGAGUUCGGGAGAGGUGAGUGGAACUGCGAGUGUAGAGGUGAAAUUCGUAGAUAUUCGCAAGAACACCAGUGGCGAAGGCGGCUCACUGGCCCGAUACUGACGCUGAUGCACGAAAGCGUGGGGAGCAAACAGG
rnacentral:rRNA from 1 species